rnacentral:rRNA from 1 species
AGUGAACGCUGGCGGUAGGCCUAACACAUGCAAGUCGAACGGCAGCACAGUAAGAGCUUGCUCUUACGGGUGGCGAGUGGCGGACGGGUGAGGAAUACAUCGGAAUCUACUUUUUCGUGGGGGAUAACGUAGGGAAACUUACGCUAAUACCGCAUACGACCUACGGGUGAAAGCAUGGGAUCUUCGGACCUUGCGCGAUUGAAUGAGCCGAUGUCGGAUUAGCUAGUUGGCGGGGUAAAGGCCCACCAAGGCGACGAUCCGUAGCUGGUCUGAGAGGAUGAUCAGCUACACUGGAACGGAGACACGGUCCAGACUCCUACGAGAGGCAGCAGUGGGGAAUAUUGGACAAUGGGCGCAAGCCUGAUCCAGCCAUACCGCGUGGGUGAAGAAGGCCUUCGGGUUGUAAAGCCCUUUUGUUGGGAAAGAAAAGCAGCAGGUUAAUACCCCGCUGUUCUGACGGUACCCAAAGAAUAAGCACCGGCUAACUUCGUG